UGUAUUAUUAUUUAUUAUAAAUAUUAUUUAUUUCUUAUCAAACUAUGUAAACAUAUGUGAAUUUUUCAGCUGUAACCCAUAACCGAUUUGUCAAAAUAAGCUCUGCAACUUCAAUCGCAAAUGAGUAUUAUCAAAUUUGAACAUAUAGUAGUAUUUACUUUAGGGCCGAGACUAGCAAGAUAAAGAAACAGAUAAGAUAAAGUAAUCAUAAGUUGGGCGUCAGUCCUUGAACAUACAUUCCGUCUGUUUACAAAAUCAACCACUCGUAUGUACAUACAUUACUCACAAUAAGUAAGGAAGAGCGAGUGUUUAGGUGGAAUGAUGGUAGACGACAGUCACUCCGAUCCUAACUGUUACGAAUUUAAAGGAAUGUUUUCGAACUAGUCGUCCUUAAUCUGGUCUAAACAAAGAUGUCUAUCCCCACAGUGGGCUUUCACUCUAAUGUGCACAUUGACUUACUUACUCCUCUAACUUCUUCUUGUGUAAUUGCACAGCUUUUUAGCUACUUAAAUAACAGCACCAGAACAUAUAACAUGUGGGUGGUUGAACAUAUUGAUCUAAAUGUAUUUAAUGUAUGUCUUAAUCAUUUAUUGUAAAAUAGUUUCUUAUCGAGUAAAUUGAUCAACAAAUGUGUAGUCUAAGUAAUAAUAAUUAGUACAAAUGCAGCCAUAGUACACAUAAUACUAAAUACUGAUAAACGAAAAACCUAACAACCAUAAUAUGAGAACUGCGAGAGAAGAGAGGAAGCACUAAUUUACAGCGCCGCAACACCAACAAAGAGUCGAAGAGAUCUAACUGAUUAUAUUCGUUCUCUUCAUAUGGGCGCAUUUUAGGCCAUUGUAAAAGUUUAAAUUUUAGAUUUAGCCCCGGAAGAUUUAUUUUAAAUCUGCCAGCUCAAAUAUAUAUAAUAUAUUACAUAUUUAUAAAAAUGCAAAGAAAAAACUCAAGAAGCAACAGUAAUUUUGCGAAUUUGUAUUUGAAUUUUUAUCUAGUAAGAUAAAUGAUAUAUUAAUAAAUGGCUGUCAAUGUUUGAAUGAAAAAGGGAAAAGUGGUUAACGGCAACACUGAUUUUGAAUGUACUGAGAAUGUAUAUUCGUAUCUGGCAGUUUACGUAUAAUAUAUACAUACAUACAUACAUGCAUAUAAAAACGAGUGCAUAUGAAUAUUCGUAUUUAGAUGAGUGUUUGCUAAAGCUGCCUCGGCUGUAUUCAGGGGUAGUUGACUGCUAGCAUUCUGGUGGAUUUCACCGCUUACUCAUAUCAGUCUGUGAAAUUUCGUUGAACGUGUUCGCUUGCAGGCCGCGACUAAACCUCGCAUAGAACAUUUGCUAUAAAUGUUUGUUAAAGUUUCAUUGAGAGAACACUCUUACAUUUGUAUUUCAAGAGAGAUUGAUUGUGGAAAUAAGAGUGUCAAAUGCAAAAUUGCAUAAAGUGAUAUGCAUGAAACUAACUACUGAUUACGAGUGAGAACGCGGUCUUAAAUAACCUCCGACGCUAAAAAACAUAAAAAACAUAAAAACUCGCCCCUUACAACUCAGCUGUUCACUACUGGUGUUGUAUGUGAGACUGCAAUGGAAAAACAAAACCCAUAAAUAAACCAUGUAAAAGCCAAAGUACGACGCAUAUAAUCAAAACAAAGACUACAAAUGCACUUUACGUAGUUGCAGUGAAAGCGAAGUGCAAUGAUAAUAAACAAAAAUGAAAAUUGUGAAACCACAAAAAAAAAAUUAAUUUGUCUGAUUGUUCGUGUAUAUAAAAUAAGUUUUAAUUUAUUAAAUUU